rnacentral:rRNA from 1 species
AACGAACGCUGGCGGCAUGCCUAACACAUGCAAGUCGAACGAGACCUUCGGGUCUAGUGGCGCACGGGUGCGUAACGCGUGGGAAUCUGCCCUUUGCUUCGGAAUAACAGUUAGAAAUGACUGCUAAUACCGGAUGAUGUCUUCGGACCAAAGAUUUAUCGGCAAAGGAUGAGCCCGCGUAGGAUUAGGUAGUUGGUGGGGUAAAGGCCUACCAAGCCGACGAUCCUUAGCUGGUCUGAGAGGAUGAUCAGCCACACUGGGACUGAGACACGGCCCAGACUCCUACGGGAGGCAGCAGUGGGGAAUAUUGGACAAUGGGCGCAAGCCUGAUCCAGCAAUGCCGCGUGAGUGAUGAAGGCCUUCGGGUCGUAAAGCUCUUUUACCAGGGAUGAUAAUGACAGUACCUGGAGAAUAAG